AUGAAGCCGGAAUUGCUAGUAAUGGCAGGUCAGCAUACUGCCGUGAAUACGUUCCCGGGCCUUGUACACACCGCCCGUCACACCAUGAGAGUUGGGGAUACCCGAAGCCUGUGAGCUAACUUUUAGAGGCAGCAGUCGAAGGUAGAAUCAAUGAUUGGGGGUGAAGUCGUAACAAGGUAGC
rnacentral:rRNA from 1 species